CUUGCUUCUCUUGAGAGCGGCGGACGGGUGAGUAAUGCCUAGGAAUCUGCCUGGUAGUGGGGGAUAACGUUCGGAAACGGACGCUAAUACCGCAUACGUCCUACGGGAGAAAGCAGGGGACCUUCGGGCCUUGCGCUAUCAGAUGAGCCUAGGUCGGAUUAGCUAGUUGGUGGGGUAAUGGCUCACCAAGGCGACGAUCCGUAACUGGUCUGAGAGGAUGAUCAGUCACACUGGAACUGAGACACGGUCCAGACUCCUACGGGAGGCAGCAGUGGGGAAUAUUGGACAAUGGGCGAAAGCCUGAUCCAGCCAUGCCGCGUGUGUGAAGAAGGUCUUCGGAUUGUAAAGCACUUUAAGUUGGGAGGAAGGGUUGUAGAUUAAUACUCUGCAAUUUUGACGUUACCGACAGAAUAAGCACCGGCUAACUCUGUGCCAGCAGCCGCGGUAAUACAGAGGGUGCAAGCGUUAAUCGGAAUUACUGGGCGUAAAGCGCGCGUAGGUGGUUUGUUAAGUUGGAUGUGAAAUCCCCGGGCUCAACCUGGGAACUGCAUUCAAAACUGACUGACUAGAGUAUGGUAGAGGGUGGUGGAAUUUCCUGUGUAGCGGUGAAAUGCGUAGAUAUAGGAAGGAACACCAGUGGCGAAGCGACCACCUGGACUAAUACUGACACUGAGGUGCGAAAGCGUGGGGAGCAAACAGGAUUAGAUACCCUGGUAGUCCACGCCGUAACGAUGUCACUACCCGUUGGAGCCUUGAGCUUUUAGUGGCGCAGCUAACGCAUUAAGUUGACCGGCCUGGGGAGUACGGGCCGCAGGUUAAACUCAAUGAUUUGACGGGGCCCGCACAGCGUGGAAGCAUGU
rnacentral:rRNA from 1 species